UGUGUACUCCCUCCGUUCCAAAAUACUUGACUUCCAUUUGUCCAAAAAUGGAUGUACCUAUAUACUAAAACAUGUCUAGAUACACAUAUAUUUUGACAAAUAGAAGGCAUGUAUUGUGCAACGGAGGGAGUAGAAU
rfam:Triticum aestivum genome assembly, contig: Triticum_aestivum_CS42_TGACv1_scaffold_642885_T_3AL-0.089407_3B-0.050498